rnacentral:rRNA from 1 species
GUGGGUGAUGGCGUGCCUUUUGAAGAAUGAGCCUGCGAGUUAGUGGCAUGUGGCGAGGUUAACCCGUGUGGGGUAGCCGUAGCGAAAGCGAGUCCGAAUAGGGCGUUGAGUCGCGUGUUCUAGACCCGAAGCGGAGUGAUCUACCCAUGGCCAGGGUGAAGCGACGGUAAGACGUCGUGGAGGCCCGAACCCACUUAGGUUGAAAACUGAGGGGAUGAGCUGUGGGUAGGGGUGAAAGGCCAAUCAAACUCCGUGAUAGCUGGUUCUCCCCGAAAUGCAUUUAGGUGCAGCGUCACGUGUUUCACGCCGGAGGUAGAGCUACUGGAUGGCCUAGGGGGCCUACAAGCUUACCGAAGUCAGCCAAACUCCGAAUGCCGGUGUGUGAGAGCGUGGCAGUGAGACUGCGGGGGAUAAGCUUCGUAGUCGAGAGGGAAACAGCCCAGAUCGCCGGCUAAGGCCCCUAAGCGUGUACUAAGUGGAAAAGGAUGUGGGGUCGCGAAGACAACCAGGAGGUUGGCUUAGAAGCAGCCACCCUUGAAAGAGUGCGUAAUAGCUCACUGGUCAAGUGAUCCUGCGCCGACAAUGUAGCGGGGCUCAAGUACACCGCCGAAGCCGCGGCACUCCAACAUGACAUCCGCAUCGGGUUACGGUCCGGUGCGCAGUGGUUGGGGUGGGUAGGGGAGCGUCGUGCAGCCAGGGAAGCAGCAGUGUGAACUAGUUGUGGAGGCUGUGCGAGUGAGAAUGCAGGCAUGAGUAGCGAAAGACGAGUGAGAAACUCGUCCGCCGAAUGACCAAGGGUUCCUGGGCCAGGUUAAUCCGCCCAGGGUGAGUCGGGACCUAAGGCGAGGCCGACAGGCGUAGUCGAUGGACAACGGGUUGAUAUUCCCGUACCCGUGUAUCCGCGCCCAAUGGCGAAUCAGUGGUGCUAAGUGCCCAAAAGCGGAUGGACCUCCUUCGGGAGGCCGGAAGUGGCUGCGCACGACCCCUGCUGUAGUAGUCAAGCGAUGGGGUGACGCAGGAAGGUAGCUGGGCCAGUGAGUGGUUGUACUGGUGUAAGCCUGUAGGGCGUUGUGUAGGCAAAUCCGCACAACAUGAGCCUGAGAGGUGAUGCGUAGCCGAUUGAGGUGAAUUCAGUGAUCCUAUGCUGCCGAGAAAAGCCUCUAGUGAGUUGGUACACGGCCCGUACCCCAAACCGACACAGGUGGUCAGGUAGAGAAUACCGAGGCGAUCGAGAGAACUGUGGUUAAGGAACUCGGCAAAAUGCCCCCGUAACUUCGGGAGAAGGGGGACCUGAUCUGGUGACCGGUCUUGCACCGUGAGCUGGGUUGGGUCGCAGAGACCAGAGAGAAGCGACUGUUUACUAAAAACACAGGUCCGUGCGAAGUCGUAAGACGAUGUAUACGGACUGACGCCUGCCCGGUGCCGGAAGGUUAAGAGGACCGGUUAGCGCUUCGGCGCGAAGCUGAGAAUUUAAGCCCCGGUAAACGGCGGUGGUAACUAUAACCAUCCUAAGGUAGCGAAAUUCCUUGUCGGGUAAGUUCCGACCUGCACGAAUGGCGUAACGACUUCUCUGCUGUCUCAACCACAGACUCGGCGAAAUUGCAUUACGAGUAAAGAUGCUCGUUACGCGCGGCAGGACGAAAAGACCCCGGGACCUUCACUAUAGCUUGGUAUUGGUGUUCGGUACGGUUUGUGUAGGAUAGGUGGGAGACUGUGAAAGCCACACGCCAGUGUGGUGGGAGUCGUCGUUGAAAUACCACUCUGAUCGUAUUGGACUUCUAACCUCGGGCCAUGAUCUGGUUCAGGGACAGUGCCUGGUGGGUAGUUUAACUGGGGCGGUUGCCUCCUAAAGUGUAACGGAGGCGCCCAAAGGUUCCCUCAGCCUGGUUGGCAAUCAGGUGUCGAGUGCAAGUGCACAAGGGAGCUUGACUGUGAGACUGACGGGUCGAGCAGGGACGAAAGUCGGGACUAGUGAUCCGGCACCGGCAUGUGGAAGCGGUGUCGCUCAACGGAUAAAAGGUACCCCGGGGAUAACAGGCUGAUCUUCCCCAAGAGUCCAUAUCGACGGGAUGGUUUGGCACCUCGAUGUCGGCUCGUCGCAUCCUGGGGCUGGAGUAGGUCCCAAGGGUUGGGCUGUUCGCCCAUUAAAGCGGCACGCGAGCUGGGUUUAGAACGUCGUGAGACAGUUCGGUCUCUAUCCGCCGCGCGCGUCAGAAACUUGAGGAAGGCUGUCCCUAGUACGAGAGGACCGGGACGGACGAACCUCUGGUGUGCCAGUUGUCCUGCCAAGGGCACUGCUGGUUAGCUACGUUCGGAAGGGAUAACCGCUGAAAGCAUCUAAGCGGGAAGCCUGUUCCAAGAUGAGGUUUCUCACCCCCUCGAGGGGGUAAGGCCCCCCACAGACCAUGGGGUUGAUAGGCCAGAACUGGAAGCGCGGUAACGUGUGGAGGUGACUGGUACUAAUCGGCCGAGGACUUACCAAC